rnacentral:rRNA from 1 species
CGGCGUGCCUAUCGAAAAAUGAGUCUGCGAGUCAGUGGUGCGUGGCGAGGCUAACCCGUGGUGGGGAGCCGUAGCGAAGGCGAGUCUCAAAAGGCGUUUUGAGUCGCGCGCCCUGGACCCGAAGCGGGAUGAUCUAGCCCUGGGCAGGUUGAAGCGCGGGUAAGACCGCGUGGAGGACCGAACCCACCUGGGUUGAAAACCGGGGGGAUGACCUGGGGCUAGGGGUGAAAGGCCAAUCAAAUUCCGUGAUAGCUGGUUCUCUCCGAAAUGCAUUUAGGUGCAGCGUCGGUUGAUUGCAUCGCGGGGGUAGAGCUACUGGAUGCUUGCGGGCCCGUAUGGGGUACCAAUAGCAGCCAAACUCCGAAUACCGUGGAUGUGUAUUCCGGCAGUGAGUCGGCGGGGGAUAAGCUCCGUCGUCGAGAGGGAGACAGCCCAGAUCGUCGUCUAAGGUCCCGAAGCGUGUGCUAAGUGGGAAAGGAUGUGGAGUCGCAUAGACAGCCAGGAGGUUGGCUCAGAAGCAGCCAU